UCCGUUUUGCAUAAAAUUUAUGCCGUUGGAAUCCUCUUUCCUUGUUCUUUCUAUUGAUGACCUCUUCUUCUGCAAAAUAUAAUAACAAGUAUCAAUUUUUUAAUAAAGUUAGAUAAUUUAGAUAUUAAUUGAUACUUUUUAUGUCAAUUUGUGACAUAAAUCAUAUUGUCCUUAAGAUAUCCUAAAAAUUUUUGACUAAGGUAUGCACCUCCUCGAUC
rnacentral:lncRNA from 1 species